GCAAGUCGACGCUUUGUGGUUCAACUGAUUUGAAGAGCUUGCUCAGAUAUGACGAUGGACAUUGCAAAGAGUGGCGAACGGGUGAGUAACACGUGGGAAACCUACCUCUUAGCAGGGGAUAACAUUUGGAAACAGAUGCUAAUACCGUAUAACAAUGACAACCGCAUGGUUGUUAUUUAAAAGAUGGUUCUGCUAUCACUAAGAGAUGGUCCCGCGGUGCAUUAGCUAGUUGGUAAGGUAAUGGCUUACCAAGGCGAUGAUGCAUAGCCGAGUUGAGAGACUGAUCGGCCACAAUGGGACUGAGACACGGCCCAUACUCCUACGGGAGGCAGCAGUAGGGAAUCUUCCACAAUGGGCGAAAGCCUGAUGGAGCAACGCCGCGUGUGUGAUGAAGGGUUUCGGCUCGUAAAACACUGUUGUAAGAGAAGAAUGACAUUGAGAGUAACUGUUCAAUGUGUGACGGUAUCUUACCAGAAAGGAACGGCUAAAUACGUGCCAGCAGCCGCGGUAAUACGUAUGUUCCAAGCGUUAUCCGGAUUUAUUGGGCGUAAAGCGAGCGCAGACGGUUAUUUAAGUCUGAA
rnacentral:rRNA from 1 species